GAUCUUUAUUUUUAUUUUUUAUAAAUUAGUAAGAUUAAAAAAAUUUAUAGAAAAAUUAAAAAUUUUACUGGGGUGGUAUUAAAAUUUAAUUAACUUUUAUUUUUAUUUACAUUAAUAUAUGAAUAAUUGAUCCAAUUUUAUUGAUUAAAAAUUUAAGUUACCUUAGGGAUAACAGCGUAAUUUUUUUUUAGAGUUCAUAUCGACAAAAAAGAUUGC
rnacentral:rRNA from 1 species